GACGAACGCUGGCUGCGUGCUUAACACAUGCAAGUCGAACGCUGAAACCCUGGUGCUUGCACCGGGGUGGAUGAGUGGCGAACGGGUGAGUAACACGUGAGUAACCUGCCCCCGACUUCGGGAUAAGCCCGGGAAACUGGGUCUAAUACCUGAUAUGAGCGCCCCUCGCAUGAGGGAUGCUGGAAAGUCUUUUCGGUAGGGGGUGGGCUUGCGGCCUAUCAGUUUGUUGGUGUGGUAAUGGCUCACCAAGACGACGACGGGUAGGCGGCCUGAGAGGGCGACCGGCCACACUGGGACUGAGACACGGCCUAGACUCCUACGGGAGGCAGCAGUGGGGAAUAUUGCACAAUGGGGGAAACCCUGAUGCAGCGACGCAGCGUGCGGGAUGACGGCCUUCGGGUUGUAAACCGCUUUCAGCAGGGAAGAAGCCCCUUGGGGUGACGGUACCUGCAGAAGAAGUACCGGCUAACUACGUGCCAGCCGCCGCCGUAA
rnacentral:rRNA from 1 species